UAAUGAUUAGAGAUAUUAAAAAUGAUCAUAGUUUUAAGGUAAAUGGACAGAGGCUUAAACCUUACAUAGAACAUGAAUGCCCUGCAAAAAAAGAGAUUUUAUUAUUAAAAGAAAUUCGAGAAUGAGAUUAAUGUGUCUAGCUGGAGACAUUAAACUCAGCACUGCAUGGGAGGCAACCCAUGGUUCUGUUUAAAAUUAGUGCUUUACUUUUGUUGAAUUUUGCAGCAUCUAUUUUUUUGUAUUGUUUUCUUCUUUCAAAAAAAAAAAAAGAAUAAAAGUGCAGGAGGAGGAGUGUAAGACGAAGUGGAAAAUUAAAAGCGAGCCUGAGGUUAUAUGUUCUUGAACUUGAUCCUUUAUUACAGUAUUUUUCGUGCUUAAUUUUAUUUAUAUGCAUACUUGAUUGAAAAUUACAUUUUCUGUAAUUUGUGUCAUUGGGGACAAUGUCAAAUUUAAGUUGGGGGGUAAGGUGAGGAAGGUAUUAAGUUUUAAUGCUGUAGAAUGAAUAGGAAUAUGUUUUGACAAUUUUUCAUCAUCUAUAAGAGCAAUUUUUUGAAAAAUAUAGUGCUGAUUUCCUAGUUCUGUCAGAAAUAACAGAAAAUAGUGCAGAGUGCAGACUGUCAAAAACCAGUAGAAAAAAAUUAUAAAAACAGUAUGAAACUUGAAAUUUUAGAGACCCUUUUCUCACAUUUCAAACCCCUAGGCAUAUAUUGUUGAAAUUCAGAAUUAUUGUUAUGAAAAUGAUAGUUUUGAUUUAUUAUUUUUACAAAUAGAUUGUUGCUGAAAACAGAACUGACAGAACUAAAACAGAGGCAUAAUUUUCAGAUCUAAUUUUUACAUCAUAUUAUGUGCACGGAAAAAUUAAAUCAAUUAGAUUAAUUGAUACCAAAGGAUAUUAGGAUGAUUAUUAUUGAGUUAAGAGAAUGAUUGAAUAGCUUGAAAUGUUGGAAUACUCCUUAGAUACAUUAUAGAUAACAUGGAUUUGAUUUUAUAGAUUUUUCACUUCAUGAUCUUGAUGGAUAGAAUUUACUUGAUGAAAAAAUUUGAUUGAUCAUUUGAGUUUAAUAGAGAUUUUUACACCCUGAUCUAUAGGACUUGUGAGGAGAAAUCACUUGUUUCGAAAAAUAGAAAAAAAAAUGAGUAGUGUAGAAAAAAAAAAAAAACACUUGCUGCAAAAUAAGUGGAUAAUGUGAAAGCCCUGAAAAUAAAGAGUACACAUGGAGGGUGUGAGACAUCAUUCUCAUUGUCGAAAUUUGUUUACAGAAAAAGCUGCUUAUUCACCACGAAAAAAAAAAAAAACAGAGGAAGAAGAAAUAUAGUGCAAACUUCAAAAAUCAAGCCAUAGGGAAGGGAAAGGUAGGAUCAAUAUUAUGCUUGGAUGAUUAUUGAUAAUUGGACCAUCUUGUAAAUUAUAUCCAUGAGUAAAGAAGUGAUAAAGAUGUAGAUUGAAGAAGUGAAAUUUAUAUUGUUAUUCCAAGAAGUGUUUAGACAUUUAAAAGCUUGAUAUCUUUCUUCAAUACUUGAUAAAAUAGUCCAAAAUAUCUAGAGGUUCAUCAUUUCUAAUUGUAUUUUGUACAUUGAAAUAUGAUGUUUGAAAUUUCUGAAUGAUAAUUAUAUUUUUAAUUCCAUUACUAAAGGACUAGUAAUGAUUUAAGUUGGNNNN
rnacentral:lncRNA from 1 species